rnacentral:lncRNA from 1 species
ACCACACCCAUGGCAUGUGGAAGUUCCCAGGCCAGGGACUGAACCUGCGCCACAGCAGUAACCAGAGCUAUAGCAAUGACAACACUGGAUCCUUAACUCACUGAGCCAAGAGGGAACUCCCUCCCAAUCUCCUAAAGUACAGCAUGAUAUUGGAGUUCCCUGGUGGUACAGCAGGUUAAGGAUCUAAUGUUGUCACUGCUCUGACUCUGGUUACUGCUGUGGUGUGGGUUCAAUCCCUGGCCCCAGAACUUCCACAUGCUGUGUGCAAGGCCAAGACAAAACAAACAAACAAAAAAACCCCAAAAAAACCCCAAAAGGUAGGGGGCUUGUUAUAAAUUCUAAGACUGUGAUGUCACAAUUUCUGACCUCUAUCCUGCCAUCAAAUUGCCAUACCCUGUGCUGGAAUAUCCAUGGGACACAGUUGUAAGUAUCAGAAAAGUUAAAGUUCCCAAUAAGCUCAGGUUAUUCUAAAACUACAAGGUUCUGUUAUGGCUGUCAUAGUAAAGCUUGAUGAUUAACAUGUAGUAAAGACAGAAUUUACAGCUUGGGCCCACUGUCAAUGGGGGAUCUAAAGAAAACAGAGCUUUGCCAUUUUCUUUUUGUUUUCGACUUUCAUGGUAGGGACAUCUCUUCUCCACAUGGAAUGAGUAAGGUGAAGAGGAAUAGGAGAAUGAAUGAAACUUGGUAAGGGAAGAUGGAAACCCAAGAUGAAAUGAUGAUAGAAUGUGGAAGAAUCCAGAGCUGCUCCAAGUGAGUUCAAACCCCCAGCUUCAAGAAAUAACCUCUUCGGGCCCCAACAAAAGUUCACCAAACAAUUGUCAGUGAUUUGGGAGGACAUCACUGAGAAUAGGAGAGAUAUCAGAAGAUGGGAGACAGUGGGAUAUCCCAAUUUUCAGAAAGAGAAUGAAGGCAGAGCCAGAAAAAUUGUAGACAAUUGUCUGUAACUUCAAUCUCAGGCAAAACACCAGAACGAGUUGCUAGAGGAACAGUUUCAGGUACAAGAUGAAGUAAUGAUUGACUCAGAAUGAGUUCACUAAGGACAAGUCAAGGCUGUUUAUCUCUUUUCUUCUUUGACAGAGUCACUCAUCCAAGAGCUCUGAGAAUGCCCAUGUACAGAGAGUAUUUCAUCAUUGGUUAGACAUUUAUGAGGUUUUUCAUGGUGUUCUUUUGGACAAGAUUGGGAAAUAUGAACUGGACUCUGGCAUACUUGAUGAAUUAGUAACCAGUUGAUUAUAUGCACAAGGUGCUGACUAACACAUUGAUAUCAAACUGUGAGGUAUAUAAUGAUGAGUAAGGAAGUAUAUAAGGAAGCAUAUAAUGAUGAGUCCUAGAGCUGUGUCCAUUUUUCCAUCAUAAAUGCUUUCAGAAUAGAAAUACAUAAGGUGUGCUCAUUAAAUUUAUAGGUAACCUGAAGUUGGAGAUAUAAUGAAGACUUACUUGGAUGACAGAAUCAGAAUCAGUGAGCUGAAUCUAAAAGGAUGAGAUUUGAAAGUUAUUAAUAGGAGGUGUGAGGAACUAAUUAUAUCAGUAAGAAUGGGUUAUACUUGCUUUAGCAGAAACUAAGAACCUUGGCCCAAUUUGAGCCAGAAGUGUAAUGUGGUUGCCAAAAACCCUCAAGAUUUUAGGCUGUAUCCAAUGGGAUAGUGGUAAAAUGUUUAAAAAUUGGCUCUCUGCAGGAAAAACCCCUUAAUGUAUAGCACUUUAUAAUUUCUAUUGUGUAAAUGCUCCCACCAUGGCCAGUUUCAAGCUACCAACAUGAUGUCACUAAACAUAAUUUGGAAAAGAUUUGCAGUGGCACAACAACACAUAGCAGUAUUUCCAUCACACAAAUACAAUUAAUGUAAAUAACCUUAAGAGAGUAGAUAAUAGAGAUAUAUAGUAAAAUAAUUAGGAAGUGAUGUUUUAAGUAUUUUUUACCUUUGUUUUUGAUAUAAUAUAUAUAAGUUGAUAUAAUUUAGCUUUUAAUUAUGGCUGCAUUUAACAGUUGGCCCACACAGUUCUUAAAAAUUUAAUGCUCAGCUCUUGGAACUUUGUGCAUCCAGGCUCCAGGCCAUAGGAACAAAAAAUGUGGUAACUGGAACAAGGGAGGUAAUAGCCCUGUUGUUCUCUGCAAUUGUCAGACCACGCCCGGAUCACUUCAUUCCAGAGCACAUGACUUACAAGUCAAACUGUUCUGAGAUCAGAGCCGAGCAGCCAAGGUGGCAGGAAACCAAAGCCCUAUGGGUGUGGAACUGUGUACAGAAUUAGGGCUGGAGCUCAAAGGGUUUAGGACCAGAGGGACAGGUAAAUGCCUAUUUUCAAAUACCUGGGGGACUAUUGCCUGAGGAAGGGCUGGGCCUACAAUCUGUAAGUGGAAGAAAGGUACAGGGAGACAGGUUUCUGCUCAGGGUAAGAAAGAACUUUCAAAGCUAUCACAAGAGGAAUGGGCUGAAAGUAAUCCUGCAACAGCAUUUAGGUACAAUGUAGAGAUGGUUCAAGUCUCAGAGGAGGUAAUAGGGCCUCACCCAAGUCCCUGUCUUCCUGAAUCUUGAUCCACCGCUCUUUCUAGGCCAGCUCUUAUUAGAAGGGUAGGAGUUCCCUUCAUGGCUCAGCAGUUAACAAACCCGACUUGGAUCCAUGAGGACUCAGGUUCGAUCCCCGGCCUGGCUCAGUGCUUUAAUGAUCCGGUGGUGUGGUGCCAUGAGCUGUGGUGUAGACUGAAGAUGCAGCUCAGACCCGGCAUUGCUGUGGCUGUGGUGUAGGCCGGCAGCUGUAGCUCCGAUUCGACCCCCAGCCUGGGGACUUUCAUAUACUGCAGGUGCAGCCCUAAAAAAAAAAAAAAAAAAGAAAAGAAAAGAAAGAAAAGAAAAA